rnacentral:rRNA from 1 species
UACAGAGGUCUCAAGCGUUGUUCGGAUUCAUUGGGCGUAAAGGGUGCGUAGGCGGCGCGGUAAGUCGGGUGGUGAAAUCUCGGAGCUUAACUCCGAAACUGCAUUCGAUACUGCCGUCGCUUGAGGGACUGGAGAGGAGACUGGAAUUUACGGUGUAGCGGUGAAAUGCGUAGAGUAUCGUAAGGAAGACCAGUCGGCGGAAGGCGGG